rnacentral:lncRNA from 1 species
GUGCCAGGAUCCUCUCGCCAUCUCUGAGGGGCUGUUCCCCUCACGGUGCUGGGACCCUCCUGCGAAGGCCAUUCCCGCAGGGUUGCUGGGGAGGAAGAGCAGCCCUGGGGAGAGAUGAGAUGUGAGGCCCGAGCACUGAAUGCUCAGGGAAAAUGACCAUGCAUUUGUGUAAUCUGAUGCAAAUGGAUGUAUAUUUAUGCAAAUGUGUGUUAAGUAGAUUCUACUGAUAGUCUGCCUUCAAAUAUUGCUUUUGAUCUUUAAGACCCUGAGAACAUGUUUAAAGGAGCCAGGAUCCAGCUAUUCCAUUGGAACAGUUCUCUACUGUGUAAUGGAAAUGGAGAAACCCAGGCAAUGGUGUGGAUUGCCCCAGGAGAAAGAGGGCUGAUUUUUCCUGCCAUCAUUAGGUUUUCAUUUUGCUCUGGAUCAAAAACUCCGCAAAUAUCCAUGACACUGUUUCCUUAUUUCUUGGGCUUUUGAAAGCAAUGUGGCUUUCCAUGACUUGUGAAUACCAGCUGGAAGAUGAUUCCACUGAUUUGCUUCUCUCCCUUUUGGGACAGCAUUGAUUUUGAAAAUUUUUUGCCAUGUAAG